rnacentral:rRNA from 1 species
GAUGAACGCUGGCGGCGUGCCUAAUACAUGCAAGUCGAGCGAACAGACGAGGAGCUUGUUCCUUCGACGUUAGCGGCGGACGGGUGGGUAACACGUAGGUAACCUACCUAUAAGACUGGGAUAACUUCGGGAAACCGGAGCUAAUACCGGAUAAUAUUUCGAACCGCAUGGUUCGAUAGUGAAAGAUGGCUUUGCUAUCACUUAUAGAUGGACCUGCGCCGUAUUAGCUAGUUGGUAAGGUAACGGCUUACCAAGGCAACGAUACGUAGCCGACCUGAGAGGGUGAUCGGCCACACUGGAACGGAGACACGGUCCAGACUCCUACGGGAGGCAGCAGUAGGGAAUCUUCCGCAAUGGGCGAAAGCCUGACGGAGCAACGCCGCGUGAGUGAUGAAGGUCUUCGGAUCGUAAAACUCUGUUAUUAGGGAAGAACAAACGUGUAAGUAACUGUGCACGUCUUGACGGUACCUAAUCAGAAAGCCACGGCUAACUACGUG